rnacentral:ncRNA from 1 species
CCCACUAAUUUUAAGCAUAUCAAUAAGCGAAAGAAAAAAAACUUACAAGGAUUUCAUUAGUAAUGACGAGCGAACCAAGAAUAGCCCAACCUUUGAAUCGGGCGACUUCAUCAUCCAAAUUGUAGUCUAGAGAAGUGUCCUCAGUGGCAAACCAGGCCCAAGUCCCCAGGAAGGGGCGCCAGAGAGGGUGAGAGCCCCGUUGUGUCUGGAACCUGUCAUAUCAUAAGAUGUUAUUAACAAGUUGGGUUAUUUGGGAAUGCAUCCCAAAUCAGGUGGUGAAUUUCAUCCAAGGCUAAACACAGGCGAGAGAACGAUAGAAACAAGUACCGUGAGGGAAAGAUUAAAAGCACUUUGAAAAAAAAGUCAAAGAGUGCUUGUAAUUAUCGGGAGAGAAGUAGAUGGGGGCCGGCGAUGCGGCCUGGUUAGAUGUGGAACAGCGACGAGUCGGUCCACCGAUCGACUCAAGGCGUGGACAAGCAUAGGUUAAAAGGGUAGCCAAAGCCUAGGCUCUCAAUUCGUUCAUGGAAUGUCAUCUCCUUGAUUUUGGCAAGUAGCAUGCACCCCUGGUGUGCUUCGGCAUCUGCGCGCUCGGACGUUGGCCUGUGGUCUCCCCAUUCGACCCAUCUUGAAACACAGACCAAGAAGUCUGACAUUUGUACAAGUCAACGGGCGAGUAAACCCGUAAGGCGUAAGGAAGUUGAUUGGUGGGAUCCCCCUGAGGGUUGCACCACCGACUAACCUUGAUCUUUUGAGAAGAGUUUGAGUGUGAGCAUACCUAUCGGGACCCUAAAGAUGGUGAACUACUCCUGUUCAGGGUGCAGCCCGAGAAAACUCUGGCGGAGGCCCACAACAAUACUGACAUGGAAAUUGUUCAUCUGACUUGGGUAUAGGGGCAAAAAACUAAUCAAACCAUCUAGUAAAUGGUUCCCUUUAAAGUUUCCAUCAAGAUAGCUGGAGCUCGUGUACAAGUUCAAUCGGGUAAAGCCAAUGAUUAGAGGCUUCGUUGGCGCAAUACCCUUGACAUAUUCUCAAACUUUAAAUAGGAAGGAUGGCGCGGCUGCUUUAUUGAGUCGUGCCACAGAAUCAAGAGCUCCAAGUGGGGCAUUUUCUGUAAGCAGAACUAGUGAUGCGGGAUGAACUAGAAGCCGGGUUAUGGUGCCAAACUAUGCGCUAACCUAUAUCCCAGAAAGGGUGUUGGUCGAUUAAGACAGUCGGACAGUGGUCAUGGAAGUUGAAAUACGCUAAGGAGUGUGUAAAAACCCACCUGCCGAAUCAAAUAGCCCUGAAAAUGGUUAGAGCACAUGACCUAUACCUAGCCAUAAAGGCAAGUGCCGGGCCUUGAUAAGUAGGAGGGCGCGGUGGUCGCUGUAAAACCUUGGGCACGAGCCUGAGCGGAGCGGCCGUCGGCGUAUAUCUUGAUGGUAGUAACAAAUAUUCAAAUGAGAACUUUGAACACUACAGAGGGGAAAGGUUCCAUGUGAAAGACACUUGCACAUGGGUUAGCCGACCCUGAGGGUCGGGGGAAACCUGACAGAUAGCGUAUUUCGCACGUACUCAAAAAGAGAAUCAGGUUAAGAUUCCUGAACCGGGAUGUGGCGGUCGACGAAAAUGUUAGGAAGUUCGGAGACAUCAGCGGGAGCCUCGGGAAAAGUUAUCUUUUCUGUUUAAUAGCCUGCCUACCCUGGAAUCGGCUGGGUUAGAGGUAGUGUCCAUCUGCUAGAAGAGCACCGCAAGUCGUAUGGUGUAUGGUGCACUCCUGGCGGCCCAUGAAAAUUUGAAGGAUCGAAUACUGUCCAUGCCCGGUCGUACUCAUAACUACAUUAGGUCUCCAAGUUGAACCCUCUGGUC